rnacentral:rRNA from 1 species
UACAGAGACUGCAAGCGUUAUUCGGAUUCACUGGGCGUAAAGGGUGCGCAGGCGGUCGGGUGUGUCAGAUGUGAAAUCCCGAGGCUCAACCUCGGAACUGCGUCUGAAACUACUCGACUAGAGUACUGGAGAGGGUAACGGAAUUCACGGUGUAGCAGUGAAAUGCGUAGAUAUCGUGAGGAACACCAGAGGCGAAGGCGGUUACCUGGACAGUUACUGACGCUCAGGCACGAAAGCAUAGGGAGCAAAAGGG